rnacentral:sRNA from 1 species
UCGAGUUGGCAGGAGUAACCCACGGAACUGAGGAAAGUCAUUAGAGCUGAGAAAGAAGUGGCCCAAUCUGGACGGUGGGAAUUCGUGGGAAUGAGCAGAAGGCCCUCCGUGGGUGACUGUGUCACUAGAGGCGGGCCCCUGGUAAAAUUCCAGGCCAGGCCUCUGCGUUUCUAGGCAGAACCUGGAGUCGGCCUUGCCUGAGAACCCAGCUUUGUGUUAUCGUAUCCUGUCUCGCGAAGGCAGGCGUUCAAGGAUAUUUGGUCGGAUCGCCCGGCGGCGCUAAACGUUUUCUUUUUUCCGAGCGGACCGGGUCGUUCUCUAAACUCGCCGCGAUGUCGUCCUGGCUUGGGGGCCUCGGCUCCGGAUUGGGCCAGUCUCUGGGUCAAGUCGGGGGCAGCCUGGCUUCCCUCACUGGCCAGAUAUCAAACUUUACAAAGGAUAUGCUGAUGGAGGGCACGGAGGAAGUGGAAGCAGAAUUACCUGAUUCUAGGACAAAGGAAAUUGAAGCCAUUCAUGCAAUCUUGAGAUCAGAGUUGCCUUUGUAUACACACCUGCUUUCAGCCUUCUACAUAUGAACAUAUCAAGUAAAUGUUGGUGUACAAAUAUACAUGAUGAAAGAAUACUGUCACGUGGCCGGGCAUGGUGGCUCACGCCUGUAAUCCCAGCACUUUGGGAGGCCGAGGCGGGUGGAUCACCUGAGUUUGAGACCAGCCUGACCAACAUGGAGAAACCCUGUCUCUACUAAAAAUACAAAAUUCGCUGGGCGCGG